GUCCCGCAACGAGCGCAACCCUUAUCUUUAGUUGCCAUCAUUCAGUUGGGCACUCUAGAGAGACUGCCGGUGACAAACCGGAGGAAGGUGGGGAUGACGUCAAAUCAUCAUGCCCCUUAUGAUUUGGGCUACACACGUGCUACAAUGGAUGGUACAAAGGGCAGCAAAACCGCGAGGUCAAGCAAAUCCCAUAAAACCAUUCUCAGUUCGGAUUGUAGUCUGCAACUCGACUACAUGAAGCUGGAAUCGCUAGUAAUCGUAGAUCAGCAUGCUACGGUGAAUACGUUCCCGGGUCUUGUACACACCGCCCGUCACACCACGAGAGUUUGUAACACCCGAAGCCGGUGGAGUAAC
rnacentral:rRNA from 1 species